rnacentral:rRNA from 1 species
UACAGAGGGCUCAAGCGUUGUUCGGAAUCACUGGGCGUAAAGGGCGUGUAGGCGGUCAUGCAAGUGGGGUGUGAAAUCCCUCAGCUCAACUGAGGAAGUGCGCCCGAAACUGCAGAGCUUGAGUACCGGAGAGGAUGGCGGAAUUCCCGAAGUAGAGGUGAAAUUCGUAGAUAUCGGGAGGAACACCGGUGGCGAAGGCGGCCAUCUGGACGGAUACUGACGCUGAGACGCGAAAGCGUGGGGAGCAAACAGG